UCUUCGGUGAUGAGUUACACAGUGACUUUCGUUCUUCUGAGCAUGCUGAAGCCAAACUUUCUUUGCUGAGAAGA
ensembl:snoRNA small nucleolar RNA SNORD59